GCACCUGUGAUGUAGUGGUUUAGCAUGUCUGUCUUAUAGUCUAACCGUUUUCGGUUACGCCUAUGAUAGUUAUCAGAAUGUCGUGAGUUCAAUCCUCACCAGGUGCA